rnacentral:lncRNA from 1 species
AAAGCUACAGCUGGCACAGAGGCAAACCAGCGUCCACGUUUAUAGUUUCUUUACGAUGGUCCAUGAGUGAAGAAAAUGUAUCAAGUCGAGGACGUGGACAACAGUUUUGGUGCGUCUUCGGUUUCUGAGAAUUCAGGUACAUAGAUUUGCGUAGUAAUUCAUGGCAUGUUUAAACUACACGAUGUCUCUAGUUCAUGUAUUUCCUCUCCAGGACAAGGGGUGAUUUUUAAACCACUGUGUUGCCAGACGCACAAAAAAAUUCCAGCCUUACAUUUGUAGGAUGACGAAAAAACGUAGCCGUAAAGUAUAAUAACAUUUCUUGCUCUUUUUGCGUGACACAGGUGGCUUAUGUCUCUUAGACUUUCUGGCAUGUACGUGCCAACAUAUAAUUCAAUGGCACGUGUUCCUGGCAAUAGUAUUUUUACGCGUUAUUUUCAGGUGGUGAAUUACCACACUGUUCAUUAGGACCAAAUGGGUGUCACAGGACAAUCUACGUGAAAGAACUUGUACCAAGCAUGCCUCAUGGGGUCCUUCCAUAGCCAGCUGUUGCUGAAGCGCCUGUACUAAGUGUCUUGGUCUCAGGAGCCCCCAUCUACACCAACAGGAAGGGGCUGAAGCCUAAUUCGUAAGGUUUUUAUACCAUGAACGAAGAGGCGGAUGCAGAAGUAUUUAGAUGAGAUAUCAAGUCUGCGGAGGACUGUUUCAAGACUGAAAAAGGCCUCUGUCAUCAUUCCGCAAACAUGAAUAUUGGCCGAGUCAUUCAGUGGUGACUGUCAGUGCAAACAAGUGGGACAUGCUGCACAAUCUUCUUGUGCUGCUAGUUGUCACUCAUGACUGGACUGCUAUGUGCGACGACUAAGGUAAGCUGCUUACGAGCUCACACUAAUGGUUUCAGCAUAUCUGGACAUGCAAAUUUCAUUUCUGCUCUUGUGAAAGGAGGAGCUCUGCUCAUUUCCUGUCAAUAAACUUUCACAUCCUGUUCA